CUCUAACCCUGCAACUCAGAAGCAAUCUCUCGAUCUCUAAAUCUCUCAAAAGAUAACCCAUAAUCAGAAAACCCUAACUCAGAAGCAAUCUCUCAAUCUAUUCAGCAGAAACUCAAAGGAUUAAUCUCUCGAACUCAAUCAGAUCUCACCAAGGGGCAUAACUGCAAUAAUGAAGACUAGCAAGGAAGCAGUAAAGAAGAAGCCGGUCAAGCAGUUGGAAAUAAAGAUGAAAAACAAAGAGAAGACUGAUGAAGCAUCCCUGAUAAAUAACAAGUCCAAAACUGAUAAUGCUGAAGCAGCUGAACCAUCUUCUAAUAUAAUUGCAAAGUAGUUUAGUUUUGCAAUUUUGAGUUUUUGAAUCGAAAUCAAAUGAAUUAGAUGAAAUGAUGAAUGUUAAAUUAAGUACUUAGGUUGGGAA